rnacentral:rRNA from 1 species
UACGGGGGGGGCAAGCGUUGUUCGGAAUUACUGGGCGUAAAGGGCUCGUAGGUGGCCAACUAAGUCAGACGUGAAAUCCCCCGGCUUAACCGGGGAACUGCGUCUGAUACUGGAUGGCUUGAGUUCGGGAGAGGGAUGCGGAAUUCCAGGUGUAGCGGUGAAAUGCGUAGAUAUCUGGAGGAACACCGGUGGCGAAGGCGGCAUCCUGGACCGACACUGACGCUGAGGAGCGAAAGCCAGGGGAGCAAACGGGG